GUGAUAACAGUUUACCUAAUUAAAAUUGGAACGAUACAGAGAAGAUUGGCAUGCCCCCUGUGCAAAGAUGACACGCAAUUUCAUGAAGCGUUCCAUAUAGGG